UACGUAGGGUGCGAGCGUUGUCCGGAUUUAUUGGGCGUAAAGAGCGUGUAGGCGGCUAGAUAGGUCCGUUGUGAAAACUCGAGGCUCAACCUCGAGACGUCGAUGGAAACCAUCUGGCUAGAGUCCGGAAGAGGAGAGUGGAAUUCCUGGUGUAGCGGUGAAAUGCGCAGAUAUCAGGAAGAGCACCCGUGGCGAAGGCGGCUCUCUGGUACGUGACUGACGCUGAGACGCGAAAGCGUGGGGAGCAAACAGG
rnacentral:rRNA from 1 species